UACGUAGGGUGCGAGCGUUUGUCCGGAAUUACUGGGCGUAAAGAGCUCGUAGGCGGUUUGUCGCGUCGUCCGUGAAAACUUGGGGCUCAACCCCAAGCUUGCGGGCGAUACGGGCAGACUUGAGUACUGCAGGGGAGACUGGAAUUCCUGGUGUAGCGGUGAAAAUGCGCAGAUAUCAGGAGGACACCGGUGGCGAAGGCGGGCUCCUGGGCAGUAACUGACGUGAGGAGCGAAAAGCGUGGGGAGC
rnacentral:rRNA from 1 species